rnacentral:rRNA from 1 species
CCUACGGGUGGGCAGCAGUGGGGAAUAUUGGACAAUGGGCGAAAGCCUGAUCCAGCCAUGCCGCGUGUGUGAAGAAGGCCUUCGGGUUGUAAAGCACUUUCAGUGGGGAAGAAAGCCUUGGGGCUAAUACCCUCGAGGAAGGACAUCACCCACAGAAGAAGCACCGGCUAACUCCGUGCCAGCAGCCGCGGUAAUACGGAGGGUGCGAGCGUUAAUCGGAAUUACUGGGCGUAAAGCGCGCGUAGGCGGUCUGAUAAGCCGGUUGUGAAAGCCCCGGGCUCAACCUGGGAACGGCAUCCGGAACUGUCAGGCUAGAGUGCAGGAGAGGAAGGUAGAAUUCCCGGUGUAGCGGUGAAAUGCGUAGAGAUCGGGAGGAAUACCAGUGGCGAAGGCGGCCUUCUGGACUGACACUGACGCUGAGGUGCGAAAGCGUGGGUAGUAAACAGGAUUAGAUACCCGAGUAGUC